rnacentral:rRNA from 1 species
GAAGGCGCGAAAACUUUACCAUGCGGGUUACCGUGAUAAGGGGACACCGAGUGCCAGCGUCAUACGCUGGCUGUCCAGGUGUGUAAAAUACACCUGGAAGCAAGGGCAGGGCAAGACCAGUGCCAGCCGCCGCGGUAACUUAGGCGGCCCGAGUGGUGAUAGUGAUUAUUGGGUCUAAAGGGUAAGCUGCCGGUUUGGUCAGUCCUCCGGGAAAU